rnacentral:sRNA from 1 species
GGUAACUGGUAGAGAACGUGAAGGAUAACGUUGCUUUAGCAACGGCCCGAAGGGCGAGGCGAAGCCGAGUCAUCCUGCACGACCCACCA